GUGGUGGCUCAGUGGUACAGCACUCGCCUCACAUGCAUGAGGUCCUGGGUUCAAUCCUCAGCACUACA
rnacentral:tRNA from 1 species